AUCGCUUCUCGGCUCUCUGUGAGCUAAGAUCAAGUGUAGAAACUGUUCUUAUCAGUUUAAUUCUGUUUAAUGGACACUUGCACACCCCUGUCCUGAGGAUGGAAUCUUCUGCAGCUAUAUUUGAAAAGAUUGAUGCUGCUUUAGAGAUUUAUUCUUCUUCUGAGACUGCUUUGCAUACUGCACGAUCCUGCCCGAGCGCCUAUAC
rnacentral:snRNA from 1 species